CAGCAGCCACGGGAAUACGUAGGUGGCAAGCGUUGCUCGGAAUGACUGGGCGUAAAGGGCGCGUAGGUGGUACGGACAGUCAGAUGUGAAAUUCCCGGGCUCAACCUGGGGGCUGCAUUUGAUACGUCCGAACUAGAGUGUGGAAGAGGGUCGUGGAAUUCCCAGUGUAGAGGUGAAAUUCGUAGAUAUUGGGAAGAACACCGGUGGCGAAGGCGGCGACCUGGUCCAUUACUGACGCUGAGGCGCAAAAGCGUGGGGAGCGAACAGGAUUAGAUACCCCGGUAGUCCCUGUCUCUUAUAC
rnacentral:rRNA from 1 species